rnacentral:misc_RNA from 1 species
CGGGUGGUUUUGUAACCGUUGACUUAGUUUCGCCAUUUUCCAGAUCCUCCCGCCUAAACAGCACGUAGAGGGCCGGCAGUACCAGCAAGGUGAGGAUGGUGGACGAGAUGAUUCCGCCGAUCACGACGGUCGCCAGCGGCCGUUGCACUUCUGCGCCGGCGCCGGUUGCAAUCGCCAUCGGUACGAAACCCAGCAGCGCGGUCAUCAGGACGGGACGCAGACGGGUGAGCGCACCUUCACGGACUGCGUCCACCAGAGCAUGCCCCUCUUUGCGCAGUCGCUCGAUAAACGUGAUGAUGACGAGGCCAUUGAGCACCGCCACGCCGGACAGCGCGAUAAAGCCGAUCCCGGCGCUGAUCGAAAGCGGAAUGUCUCGCAGCAGCAGAGCGAUAAUUCCGCCUGUCAAAGCCAGCGGCACUCCGCUGAAAACUAAUAGCGCGUCCGGCAUGGAGCCGAGACUCAUGAACAGCAGCAGGAAGAUNAUCAGCAGUAGCGCGACCGGCACGACGAUCGUCAGCCUCUGCGUCGCGGACACCAGUUGCUCG